rnacentral:rRNA from 1 species
GACGAACGCUGGCGGCGUGCCUAAUACAUGCAAGUCGAGCGAAUCUGAGGGAGCUUGCUCCCAAAGAUUAGCGGCGGACGGGUGAGUAACACGUGGGCAACCUGCCUGUAAGACUGGGAUAACUUCGGGAAACCGGAGCUAAUACCGGAUAAUUCUUACCAACUCAUGUUGGUAAGCUAAAAGACGGCGUAAGCUGUCACUUACAGAUGGGCCCGCGGCGCAUUAGCUAGUUGGUGAGGUAACGGCUCACCAAGGCAACGAUGCGUAGCCGACCUGAGAGGGUGAUCGGCCACACUGGGACUGAGACACGGCCCAGACUCCUACGGGAGGCAGCAGUAGGGAAUCUUCCGCAAUGGACGAAAGUCUGACGGAGCAACGCCGCGUGAGUGAUGAAGGUUUUCGGAUCGUAAAACUCUGUUGUUAGGGAAGAACAAGUACGAGAGUAACUGCUCGUACCUUGACGGUACCUAACCAGAAAGCCACGGCUAACUACGUGCCAGCAGCCGCGUAAUAC